rnacentral:lncRNA from 1 species
AUGAGAAAAACCUCGGCUCCCAGAGGCCACCUGAUUGGCCUUCCUCACUGCUGCCGUGAUGAGCUCAGUGCUGGUCUGUGUGCCCCCUCACAGAACUCUCCCUCCACCAACACUGGGACGUGUGCCGAUCAAGAUGCUCAGCUCUGCUCCCAGCCUCUGCCUCUGCCGAACUUCUACUCCUCCUGGGAACCUGCCCCACCAGACUCUCGGCCCACGCCUGGCAGAGGAAUUCCCCACACCUACCCUCUGCCGUGCUCAGAGCUGCCUUGUCCUCACAGCUUCCUUGACACAGCUGGCAGGGAAGCAGGUAGGGUAGGCUGGGCGAGGCUGCUCUGAGUGUCUGCUAGGAGAGUGGCAGGGAGAAGAAAAAUAUCCCAGAGGGUAGUGCCUCCCCAGGAAGUCCUCAUAGGCCCCUGUACUAAAUCCUCUACUCCUCAUCCCUACCUUCAGGGUGUUCAGGUCCAGAUUAGGGCCUGUGACCAAAAGAAAGGAUGACAGAGGAGAGGGAGCCUCCAUGGAAGAGAGCUCACUCCAGAGUCAAGAGUCAUUCAGUUCAUUGAUUCUCCUGCUCACUGUGUGACCUCUGGGAAGUUCCUUAAACUCUCUGAACCCCUCUAAGGCACAGGAGGCAUGGAAUUGUCCUGGUUACUAGGCGGAUCACAUGGACAGAUCGCAGCUCCUGAGACUAAAUCAGUGCCACUCGAGGUUGGCUGCUAAUGUUCCGAGGUCCUGGGAGGCAGAAGACCCCCACCCUGCUGUCAACUCCGCAGUAGUCUGAUGCUGUCCCCACCCCUGCCUGAGCCAGACACUGUGAACACCCCAAGCUGAGGUCCCUACAGAGGAUUUCUUGGCAGUGUCCCAGCACCAGCUGGCAGGGCUUCUGAGAUAAACCUUGGGUGUGGUUGGAGCUGUGCCAGUAGGAGCCACAGACUGCUACAGAUCUUUCACCCUGAAUCUUUGGUAAUUUCAGAUGUAAAUGCUGAUGUGACCCCAGGAAAGGAACAUGGGGACAGGGGGAUAUGAUGGUGCUGGCAAGACCCAUUUAAGAGUAGCAGACAGGAUACAGCCACUAAGGAGGCCUAUGUGCCCACACUGGGGAGCUGACGCUCUCUGCAGACAGGAUGCAUGGUACAUAAAUUCUAUCUUAAUAAAGCUAUGCUUUAAAGGACACUAAAUUGAAAGAAAACCUACAUAGCCUAUAAAUCAAUUGAAAUAUGCACAACCCCA